GGAGUCUUGGCGCAAUGGUAGCGCGUUGGUUUUCGGUUCACAAGCUGUUCACCAAAGGUUGAGGGUUCGAGCCGUACGUUCCC
rnacentral:tRNA from 1 species